GGCACGGUGGCAUAGUGGUUAACACUGUCGCCUCGCAAGAAGUAGGUUCCGGGAUCGAAUGCGGGUCCGACCG
rnacentral:tRNA from 1 species